rnacentral:lncRNA from 1 species
UAUCAAAUCAAACCAUAUUUCACGUCGCAGAGAAAAUGUAUACUUGACGACAAUGGUGUUUACUUCACUGAAUAUCUGAAUUCACAUAUUCAUUGACAUAAAUCCACUGGAUUACAAGGGAAUUUACAAUGCCUGAUACAUAAUAUGAAUUCAUAUUGACAACUUCAAUCAAUUACAGUGGGAAAUGUUGGCAACAUUCACACGUGUUGCAGUUCUUCCUCUUCCUCUGCACCUUCAAGUGUCAUUCGCAGCUUCUCGGCUCCCUUCCUCCUGCAGAGAAAUCAGGAGUGCCCAUUUUGACACGCUGGGAAAUGACAUGACCAAGGAGGAGAAUAAUCAGUACUUCAAAGUAGCAAGGAAGAGAAGAAUCAAUACUUGAACAAAAGAGAAAGGGCAUACCCAUGGGCUUUAUCCAUUGCAUUUUACCAUGAUCAAUACUUCAAAACUGGUUUGGGGCAAGAUCACCGGUUUUGUAGGUCAGCUCGGGAGACUGGAGGAGCUCCACUUGGAGUUUUGGACAAUAAUAUCAUUUCACCAUGCUCAAGCAGUCAACAGACUACAGGUACUCAGUAUGGCCAAAGGAUGGCCAGUCCUUCAAAUCUAGCAUUCACGCAUUUGAUGUUUUGGAUGCUCACUUUCAUCUAGCAUUCAUUGCUCCUGCAUGUGAAAAGACAGGAAAAGUCAUUUAGUCACACAAGUGCAGAUCCAAAUAUUAUUCUAGAAAAACAGUAUGUUACAUACUAUUUUUUGAAAAGAGACAUUACAUAAUGAACCAUCCAAUCCAAGCAAAAGAAUAGAAGCAUUAAAAGAUCAACAGCUCAAGAGUUCAUAUAGGAUAAAGUUGUAAAGUACACACAUUCAGUAGAUAUAUUUUUGACGUGUACAUUCAGUUGAUAUCACUAAGCUUUCAGAUGAAGACAGCCUUAAAGGUGUAGCCAUGCUGGUUUGUUUUCCAGUUACUUAUGCAAUUAGAGAUUAGACAUGUUUAUCAUAGGGUUAAUGAAAGAUAUAGCAUUCGUGGGCAGAGACAGUUUCUGAACUCCACAAUUUCAAUUGCCUCGCAGACCCGUUAACAUCGCAGAAGCAAGCGCACUACUUACCCUAUUGUGUUCAUUUUUCUUUAGCAUGAGUUUUGCUACUGGGACUCUUCGAAAGACCACUGACCUGAUCAUUUCUUCAGUGGUACAGGAUAAAAUGUAUUGCUAUAUGUUUUGAAAUUAGGUGUAUACGGCCCCUUGUUCUCUUCAAAAUAUAAUUCAUGCCGUAGGCAUCCUACACUAGCUUCAGGGUGAAAUGCUGCUGCUAAAGCAGGACGCAUGGCCUCAUCUCUUGACCCCCUGCCACUGGACUGCCUGCCUUCAGUAAGCAAUCUGUGUGCCUAAUCUGGGCAGGCUGCGUUAAUGUCAUGCAUGGACCCUCACCUCGGCUCAGUACGUGGACAAGGACAGCAAUAACACAUUAUUGUCUGAAUCUGAUCAUCGCUAGUGUAUGUAUUGCCAUAUACCAAUUCAGCAGAGCAGCUUGCGGAUGAAAAGUAGUACGUAUAAUACUGUAACACAAUUGGAGUGUGUCUGAAGAAUUUAGCAUGCAAUAGAAUUAGCCAAACCCUCUCUGACAGAGCUUCUCUUGUAGUGGUAUCUACUAAUAGUUCAGUGAGGGCCUCCCUCAGCUUGUAUAUCCAGCCAAGAAAGGAGGAGGGGAAGGGGAAUUACCGGUCGUGGAGCUCGUGGAGCUCGUGGAGGAGCAACGUUGCAUCAAGGUGGUGGAGGUCGACGGUGGGACGAAGGCCAGCGGAUGGGGAGGAAGAACCAGGCCGCGCCGGUCCGGCAAGGCCGAGAAAGGCGCCGGCGAGCUUCAGCGAGGAGGGAGGCCGACGGCUAGAUCCAGCGAACAAAGAGAUGGGGAGCUUCAGAGGGGAGGGAGGCUAGAGGCGGCGCCGGCGCGAGUGGAUGGCGGAGUGCCAGCGUCCAUGGAUUUGAACCCACGGUUUUAAUCCAUUUUCGUUUUCUUUUCCUCCUGAAACCAAACCGCCCCGAUCCAG